rnacentral:rRNA from 1 species
ACGAACGCUGGCGGCGUGCUUAACACAUGCAAGUCGAACGGAAAGGCCCUGCUUUUGUGGGGUGCUCGAGUGGCGAACGGGUGAGUAACACGUGAGUAACCUGCCCUUGACUUUGGGAUAACUUCAGGAAACUGGGGCUAAUACCGGAUAGGAGCUCCUGCUGCAUGGUGGGGGUUGGAAAGUUUCGGCGGUUGGGGAUGGACUCGCGGCUUAUCAGCUUGUUGGUGGGGUAGUGGCUUACCAAGGCUUUGACGGGUAGCCGGCCUGAGAGGGUGACCGGCCACAUUGGGACUGAGAUACGGCCCAGACUCCUACGGGAGGCAGCAGUGGGGAAUAUUGCACAAUGGGCGGAAGCCUGAUGCAGCAACGCCGCGUGCGGGAUGACGGCCUUCGGGUUGCAAACCGCUUUCGCCUGUGACGAAGCGUGAGUGACGGUAAUGGGUAAAGAAGCACCGGCUAACUACGUG